rnacentral:rRNA from 1 species
UACGUAGGGUGCAAGCGUUAUCCGGAAUUAUUGGGCGUAAAGAGCUCGUAGGCGGUUUGGCAAGUCGGAUGUGGAAGCUCCGGGCUCAACCCGGAGACGCCAUUCGAUACUGCCAUGACUAGAGUCCGGUAGGGGGGUGUGGAAUUCCCAGUGUAGCGGUGAAAUGCGCAGAUAUUGGGAGGAACACCAGUGGCGAAGGCGGUGCUCUGGGCCGGAACUGACGCUGAGGAGCGAAAGCGUGGGGAGCAAACAGG